CUUGUAUUCCUUCCGUCCCGAAAUUUUUGUCUUAGAUUUAUCUAACAAUGAAUGUAUCAAAAUACUAAAACGUGACUAGAUAUAUUCAUAUCUAGACAAAUCUAAGACACGAAUUUUGGGACGGAGGAAGUACUAA
rfam:Hordeum vulgare subsp. vulgare, WGS project CAJW01000000 data, contig: morex_contig_1573470